UGAAACGUUGUUUGUUACAUAAUUGCAAGAGAAGCAAUGUGUAGGAGUCUCUAAGUUCCAUGACUGUCGACUUUAGGUCUUAUCCGAAACAACUUCUUAUGUCAUUUGUAAAUAAAACUAAAGCUAAAACUAAACCGGGAAAAAAUAAAUAAAACAAAAACAAAAGACAAACUUUCUUUGACAUCCUUGUCACUCCAUCGGUGUAUUUCUCCCAGGGGAAAAUGUUGCGUUAGCUUCCGGAAACUGGAAGCACCUCAAGAGGUUGCCAUCAGACAGAAGAGGAGGUGAAAAAGCAGCUCUGAGGACCUGAAGAGACCAUGCCGCCAUGGUGCCAAGGGUGGACCGUUGAGACCACAUCACAUCUAAAGUCUGCAGAGCACUACAGAGCCACAACCAUCAGAAAACAACGGAGCAUCUCAUUUAGACAACCAGAUCAUUUCGGAUGCAACGAUGGACAGCCGUAGCACACAGGGCCACCUGUCUCCACGGCUGCUGGCUUCACAGCUCGGACUGGUUCCUCAUGGUGUCUGAGAACAUCGCC